UGUGCCUACGGGGCGCAGCAGUGGGGAAUAUUGCGCAAUGGGCGAAAGCCUGACGCAGCGCCGCCGCGUGAGGGAUGAAGGUCUUCGGAUCGUAAACCUCUGUCAGCAGGGAAGAACGGUCACUGUGCUAAUCAGCAGUGAAUUGACGGUACCUGCAAAGGAAGCACCGGCUAACUCCGUGCCAGCAGCCGCGGUAAUACGGAGGGUGCGAGCGUUAAUCGGAAUUACUGGGCGUAAUGCGCUCGUAGGCGGUAUGUCAAGUCAAGGGCUAAAUCCCCGCGCCCAACGUGGGAACUGCCUUUGAA
rnacentral:rRNA from 1 species